GCAUCUUUUUCGCCAAACACUGUACAAAGUACUCCAGAUUUGAAAUAAAUCAGUAUAUAACAAGAAUCACUCUGCUGCAUCACACUAACCUGUUUCCAAAGACGUGCAAAAUGAAACAAUUAUACCAACUUGUUUUAAUCGUGCUCAUUGUAGCAACUUGCCUAACAAAUGAGGCUUUAUCUGCUCCCAGUCAAGUCGCAAAGCGUGAAUCGGUGCCUCAUUGUAUUGUGUGGCAGGGAAUGAAGAUUUGUCUUCCUUCCUUCCUGAAUGCCAGGUGGUGAAUGUCAAUGUUAUCCACAAUAACUUCAAACACAACAUGAUUUUAUGAAAAAUACAACUAAACAAAUCUGAAUGCUGCAGAAACGAUGCGUGUUUUGAUUGACCACUCAAUGAAACACUGAAAUUAACAUCAACAAAACUUUUUUUCAAAAUAAACCCUAAUCAGACUAUCAGAAAUCGUAGUCAGCUUUAAUAUGUUUAUUUAUAUAUUCUAUACAGUUCGUCUGGCAUUUUGAUAUCGAACGAUAAAGUUAACUGAACUCAAAAACUAAUUCAAAAACAGCUUUAUAUAACAAGAAAGAACCCCUUGUAUGAACGGGUCAAUUAAAGUAAUUAAGUAAACAAUAUCUAAGCAAUGAAGUUAAACGAUUGAAGUAAUUAACUCUUUUUCGUCAAACAUCAAACACCAAAACAUCAUUCCAGCACUUUGGCAAACAUUUGUCAUAGAACCAAUUGCACAUAAACAUCCACGAAUUGAUUAUUAGGGGAAAAAAAACCAUCGCACGUAACAUCGGGCGACCUUAGCUCCUAUAAAUACUCCUAAAAAUAAGCUUUGAAGCUUAAAGCCCCAUUCAAAGAACCAUGCGUAUCUUGACAAGUGAAAUAUUGUCCCUUUUCUGUGCGCUUCUCGGAGCGGUAGCAGGACGACAAAUAACAGACUAUCCAACGGCAGGAGCUGAGGAUCCUGGAAAUGAGUGCAAUGAUUGGGGCGUCUGCAUCAACUUUCCGCAAUGAGCAUACAAUUGCUCCAAACGUAGCCACAACUAUUACUAUAUUCAAACUCAUUUUAUUGAUAUUUCACCACAUAUUUGAAGAAAAAUAACAAUCUAGCAAAAAACCGCAAUGCAAGCAACUUUUUUAUUUAAUCAAUAUACACUAAAAGCGAAACUUGUUUUGAAACUUGAAAGAUUUAGCCCAGCCUAAGCCCAGAUACGAUAUCGCGAUAAAGAAAACCUUGUAAGGUUAUUCCAUUUAACAAUCUUACCUUGUACACAAAAACCUAACAUGUACCAAACGAAAUGUUACAAUUGCUCCGACCAGCAUUUUAUCGAAGAUUAUAGAGCCAUGGCCCAUAUUUCUCACUAAGCAAAACGAUAAGUAUAGAAGCUGUUUAUGUAUAUAAAUAGUUGCUCCAUCAGCUACAUAGCCACUCGCUCACUGGUUUGUAGUUUUGUUACAGUAACCAAAUCAAAGAAUCAUGAAGUUCCUUAUGAAAGUGUUCCUGUCUGCACUGCUCGCCCUUGCGGUACUGGUGUCAGCUCAACCUGAAGAGACAAAUGUCAACAUUGGGCCCUUUCCGUUGUAAGUCCGCUGUAAGCUGAAAUUUCAGCCUGUCAGCUGUUUGCGUUGUAUAGCAGUUUUCGAGCAGCUAUCUAAAAAAACUACGAGAGCCGUUGCCAAAAACAUGGAACGAAGAAGGACUGCUGGGUGACUGGUCCUACCACUGCACCAUCGGCCAAAAAACCUCGCGCUUAAUGAUCGCAUCGAACAAUCGCAAUGGUGAACGAGUUCCGCUUAUUGUAAUUUUAAAAUAAAAAGCAUCUGAAGCGGCAGUAGCAGAAUUCGUUCGUACUAUUGUAAGAUGUUGCAAGAUGUAAAUGUUUGAAAACGACUAUUGUCCUACACCUUCUUGCAAUGACCAAAACCCAAACAUAUUACUGUAGAAAUAUUCAAAAAUCACAAACAUUUCCAUUAGCUUGCCAAAAAUAAAUCUUUGAAUUCAAAAAUACAUCGAGACACUUCAUUGCAAACUAUAAUUUAAGAGUGCUGUAAUGUGAGGCUUGCUAGCUGUCAAGUCUGCAUCACGUCGAUGUGAAACAAAAUUAAUUAAAUGCCAUCUUUUUCCACUUUUCUACUUACAAAUCUACUACUGAUCUGGGCAAACAUAUUAUAUUCCUAACAGAUUGAAUCGGAUAGUUCCCAGACCAUGUACAGUGAAUCGAAAUAAGUUAAUAGGAGGCACGUGUCACCUCCGAAGUGUUUAUUGUUUAUAAAUUGAAGCAAAGCGAUGAAUAAUGAGAAACAAAUUCAGUGUUUAUGAUUAUUUUAUUUUGCGUCCAACUAACGAAUUUGUAAAUCCAGCAUAUAAAAACAGAAGAACAAAUAGUAAGCAAUAUCGAAAUAAAACUAGAAUAUAUAUAAGCGAUUCAUUCAACUAAUGCUAUUUUGCAAACUAAGGAGAACGUUUUCUUUUAUAAAAGGAACCAGUUUGAGAUAAAAAAAACACGCACAAAGAAUAUGCAUUUCCUAACAAGCCUUUUUGUUAUAUUCAUCACAUUGAUGGGGCUCAUAUACGCACAACCGUCGGAUGAAGUAUUACAAUCUUUUCAAAACAUGUGUGACAGUAUAAAUAAGCUUGUAUAUUCAACAUUUUGGCAAGAGGCAGUCAAGUUUUCACAGAUAUGUACUUUUAAACCCUAGUAAACCAUAAAAAAUGACAAAAAUAUAUGUUAAUGCAACUUAAAUGUAUUUAUAACUUAUAAAAAAUCCGAAAAAGACUUCUUCUUCUUUUUCUGCUUUGGCAUAACAACCGUUGUCGGUCAAGGCCUGCCUGUACCACUAGUGGGCUCGGCUUUCAGUGACUUAUUGGUACCAUAGCAGGAUAGUCAGUCCUACGUAUGGGGAACACGGUCUAUUCGAGGCUUGAAUCCAAGACGGGCAUGUUGUUAAGUCGUACGAAUUGACGACUGUACCACCAGACCGAAAAACUUACGGUUACUAAAAAAUCAAAAUCAAUAGUUUUUAACAAGUUUUAAUUAGUUAGUUUUAGUUUUUGCACAAUCAAAUGAAAUACACCAAAAAACAUUGCUUAAAGUUACUUGAUGAAAAGAAAACAAUCACCAACGCACGUGUUCAAAAGUUCAAGCUCUUCUGUUAUCGAUUAUUGCAUUCAUGUUAACACCUAUAUGCCAUGUACUCUAAGGUAACUAUAGCCAACUGUACCCAUGUUCAACAUUUCUAGAACAUGUAGCAAGUGAGAUUCCACAUCAGCACGCUAAUAUAUAAGCUGUUCUUUCGUCCCUGUAACGUUUAAAUCUUAUACUAACCCUGUUUCAAUCGAAACCCAUUGUAAAAAAGAACACCGAAACAUGAAAUUCCUUGCCACCAUAAUUCUCUUUGCAUUUAUUGCACUGCUCGGACAGGGAUCCGCAGAACCAUCUCGCAAUGAUAUUUCCGUUUAUGAGAAAUUAUGCCAAACCUUUGGGCUGGAGAAGGACUGCUGAACUACUGCCAACCCACCCACGAAAAGGCCUCUUGCUGACAUUAAACAAGAAACCAAAGAGAACAAAGAUUUGAUGCGUUGAACAGCUCCAACUGUAACCAAAACGUUGCAAAAUAAACCUCACAUUUAUUCAACUGAAAAAUUAUCAAUUUUCUGCAGUGCUGCAAUGUAAAUAAAAACUAACUGCUCUGCAAACUA